AAGUUUACAGGACAAACUAUGGUAUUUCUGUAGAUUUCCCAGGGUGAGGCUUAUCCAUUGCACCCCAGAUGUGCUGACCCCUGUGAUUUCCCCAAAUGUGGGAAACUCGACUAUGUAAUUUGUGGUAGUGGGGGACUGUGUUUGUGCAUUCCCCUG